UACGGAAGAUGCGAGCGUUAUCCGGAUUUAUUGGGUUUAAAGGGAGCGUAGGCGGGUUCUUAAGCCAGCGGUGAAAUGGCGUCGCCCAACGACGUCCUGCCGUUGGAACUGGGAACCUUGAAUGUGCGCAGGGCAGGUGGAAUUCGUGGUGUAGCGGUGAAAUGCUUAGAUAUCACGAAGAACUCCGAUGGCGAAGGCAUCCUGCUGGAGCACGAUUGACGCUGAGGCUCGAAAGCGCGGGUAUC
rnacentral:rRNA from 1 species